UACGAAGGGAGCUAGCGUUGUUCGGAAUCACUGGGCGUAAAGCGCACGUAGGCGGAUGUGUCAGUCAGGGGUGAAAUCCCGGGGCUCAACCUCGGAACUGCCUUUGAUACUGCAAAUCUCGAGUCCGGAAGAGGUGAGUGGAAUUCCUAGUGUAGAGGUGAAAUUCGUAGAUAUUAGGAAGAACACCAGUGGCGAAGGCGGCUCACUGGUCCGGUACUGACGCUGAGGUGCGAAAGCGUGGGGAGCAAACAGG
rnacentral:rRNA from 1 species